CAGACGGACGAACGGACGGACAGACGAACGGACGCACAGACCAGAAAACAUAAUGCCCCUCUAAUAUUGUAGGUGGGGCAUAAAAAUGGCUUAUUAAUUUCCAAGUCAUUAGACCAUGACCUAGGAGGCAGGGCCUCAUAAUUGUCAUCAAACUGAUAUGUACUGAUAGUAAUGCAUUGUUAUAUAAAACAUCAAUGAUCUAUCACCAGUAGUUUCUAUCAAACUUAACAAUUAUUGACGCUGUCACCAGAAAAGAAUUUCUAUAUGUCUUGCUUUCUGAAACUUUCUUCAAAGGCAAGAAAAAAAACACA
rnacentral:lncRNA from 1 species